CAUAUACCUUGGUCUAACAUUUGGCUGAAAAUUAUCUAUUAAGCGGAUAUGGAGUGGCUUUUAGUCUUUAUCAUAGGCUGUCUUGUGGGUUUCCUAAUAUCAAAGAAUACAUAGUCUACUCGUAGUGUGUACACUUACGUGCACAAAAAGCAAAAUUUCCAUUUAAAACCAAAGAGAUCGGAGUUUUAAUAGAAAAUAUGCAGCGAUUUAUUACUUUCAUUGUUGGAGGAAUUGUGGGUUUUCUCAUUGCCAAGAACACCCGCUAAGAAAUAUGGCCUAUGUUAUCUGCUUCGGAAUGGGCAUGGUUUUCGGAAUGUUCGUAUGCCGACGUUGCGAGCCCUGAUUAAAAAGACUUUACCGACUGAAAGACCUGCCCAAAUUCAAGAUCUCAUUCUUGUCUAAAAUGAAUUUAGAAUAAACAACUCUUAACAAAA